AACGAACGCUGGCGGCAGGCUUAACACAUGCAAGUCGAACGCAUCCUUCGGGGUGAGUGGCAGACGGGUGAGUAACGCGUGGGAACGUGCCCUUCAGUUCGGGAUAACCCAGGGAAACUUGGGCUAAUACCGGAUACGUGCGAGAGCAGAAAGAUUUAUCGCUGAAGGAUCGGCCCGCGUCUGAUUAGCUAGUUGAUGGGGUAAUGGCCCACCAAGGCGACGAUCAGUAGCUGGUCUGAGAGGAUGAUCAGCCACGUUGGGACUGAGACACGGCCCAAACUCCUACGGGAGGCAGCAGUGGGGAAUAUUGGACAAUGGGCGCAAGCCUGAUCCAGCCAUGCCGCGUGAGUGAUGAAGGCCUUAGGGUUGUAAAGCUCUUUCGUCCGGGACGAUAAUGACGGUACCGGAAGAAGAAGCCCCGGCUAACUUCGUGCCAGCAGCCGCGGUAA
rnacentral:rRNA from 1 species